CAGUAGCCACGGGAAAACGUAGGGUCCGAGCGUUGUCCGGAAUUAUUGGGCGUAAAGCGUGCGUAGGUGGUGGUUUAAGUCCGUUGUGAAAGCCCUGGGCUCAACCUGGGAAUUGCAGUGGAUACUGGGUCACUAGAGUGUGGUAGAGGAUAGUGGAAUUUCCGGUGUAGCAGUGAAAUGCGUAGAGAUCGGAAGGAACAUCUGUGGCGAAGGCGACUAUCUGGGCCAACACUGACACUGAGGCACGAAAGCGUGGGGAGCAAACAGGAUUAGAUACCCCAGUAGUCCCUGUCUCUUAUAC
rnacentral:rRNA from 1 species